UCCGUCGGUCCUCGUGAUUUGAACGGCCGGCUUGCGGCGAGGUGAAACAACAGCGCUAAAGAGGCUCCCUGGGCGGCGUC
rnacentral:ncRNA from 2 species